GUGCUCAUUUUGGCAGCACAUAUACUAAAAUUGGAAGGACACAGAAGAUUAGGAUGGCCCCUGCAUGAGGAUGACAGGCAAAUUCCUGAAGUGUUUCAUGUUUUA